UACGUAGGGGGCAAGCGUUGUCCGGAAUUAUUGGGCGUAAAGCGCGCGCAGGCGGUUCAGUAAGUUGGAUGUUUAAAGCCGGGGCUCAACCCCGGUACGCAUCCAAAACUGGUGGACUUGAGUGUAGGAGAGGAAAGUGGAAUUCCACGUGUAGCGGUGAAAUGCGUAGAGAUGUGGAGGAACACCAGUGGCGAAGGCGACUUUCUGGCCUAUAACUGACGCUGAGGCGCGAAAGCGUGGGGAGCAAACAGG
rnacentral:rRNA from 1 species